AUUGAACGCUGGCGGCAUGCUUUACACAUGCAAGUCGAACGGUAACAGGGUGCUUGCACCGCUGACGAGUGGCGAACGGGUGAGUAAUGCGUCGGAACGUGCCGAGUAGUAGGGGAUAACGCCGCGGAAGUUGUGCUAAUACCGCAUACGUACUGAGGUAGAAAGUGGGGGACCUUCGGGCCUCACGCUAUUCGAGCGGCCGACGUCUGAUUAGCUAGUAGGUGAGGUAAAGGCUCACCUAGGCGACGAUCAGUAGCGGGUCUGAGAGGAUGAGCCGCCACACGGGGACUGAGACACGGCCCAGACUCCUACGGGAGGCAGCAGUGGGGAAUUUUGGACAAUGGGCGAAAGCCUGAUCCAGCCAUGCCGCGUGUCUGAAGAAGGCCUUCGGGUUGUAAAGGACUUUUGUCGGGGAGGAAAUCCCCAGCGUUAAUACCGCUGGGGGAUGACAGUACCUGAAGAAUAAGCACCGGCUAACUACGUGCCAGCCGCCGCUGUAAAAC
rnacentral:rRNA from 1 species